AUUGAACGCUGGCGGCAUGCCUUACACAUGCAAGUCGAACGGCAGCGGGGGAGAAGCUUGCUUUUCCUGCCGGCGAGUGGCGAACGGGUGAGUAAUACAUCGGAACGUGCCCUGUAGUGGGGGAUAACUAGUCGAAAGAUUAGCUAAUACCGCAUACGACCUGAGGGUGAAAGUGGGGGACCGCAAGGCCUCAUGCUAUAGGAGCGGCCGAUGUCUGAAUUAGCUAGUUGGUGGGGUAAAGGCCUACCAAGGCGACGAUCAGUAGCUGGUCUGAGAGGACGAUCGGCCACACUGUGACUGAGACACGGCCCAUGCUCCUACGGGAGGCAGCAGUGGGGAAUUUUGGACAAUGGGCGAAAGCCUGAUCCAGCAAUGCCGCGUGUGUGAAGAAGGCCUUCGGGUUGUAAAGCACUUUUGUCCGGAAAGAAAUGGCUCUGGUUAAUACCUGGGGUCGAUGACGGUACCGGAAGAAUAAGGACCGGCUAACUACGUGCCAGCCGCCGCCGCCG
rnacentral:rRNA from 1 species